rnacentral:rRNA from 1 species
AAAAUAACUUAGUGGCGAACGGGUGAGUAACGCGUGAGUAACCUGCCCUGGAGUGGGGGGACAACAGUUGGAAACGACUGCUAAUACCGCAUAAGCGCACAGUACCGCAUGGUACGGUGUGAAAAACUCCGGUGGUAUGAGAUGGACCCGCGUCUGGUUAGGUAGUUGGUGGGGUAACGGCCUACCAAGCCGACGAUCAGUAGCCGACCUGAGAGGGUGACCGGCCACAUUGGGACUGAGACACGGCCCAA